UACGUAGGUGGCGAGCGUUGUCCGGAUUUACUGGGCGUAAAGGGCUUGUAGGCGGUUCGUUAAGUCUGGUGUGAAAUCUCCCGGCUCAACUGGGAGAGGUCAUUGGAAACUGGCGGACUAGAGACGGGUAGAGGAAAGCAGAAUUCCCGGUGUAGCGGUGAAAUUCGUAGAUAUUCGGAAGAACACCAGUGGCGAAGGCGGCUCACUGGACUGGUAUUGACGCUGAUGUGCGAAAGCGUGGGGAGCAAACAGG
rnacentral:rRNA from 1 species